GACGAACGCUGGCGGCGUGCCUAAUACAUGCAAGUCGAGCGCAGGAAAUCGACGGAACCCUUCGGGGGGAAGUCGACGGAAUGAGCGGCGGACGGGUGAGUAACACGUAAAGAACCUGCCCUCAGGUCUGGGAUAACCACGAGAAAUCGGGGCUAAUACCGGAUGGGUCAUCGGACCGCAUGGUCCGAGGAUGAAAGGCGCUUCGGCGUCCCCUGGGGAUGGCUUUGAGGUGCAUUAGCUAGUUGGCGGGGUAAUGGCCCACCAAGGCGACGAUGCAGAGCCGACCUGAGAGGGUGAUCGGCCACACUGGGACUGAGACACGGCCCAGACUCCUACGGGAGGCAGCAGUAGGGAAUCUUCCACAAUGGACGAAAGUCUGAUGGAGCAACGCCGCGUGAACGAUGAAGGCCUUCGGGUCGUAAAGUUCUGUUGUAAGGGAAGAACAAGUGCCGCAGGCAAUGGCGGCACCUUGACGGUACCUUGCGAGAAAGCCACGGCUAACUACGUGCCAGCCGCCGCAGUAAGAC
rnacentral:rRNA from 1 species